CGAACGCUGGCGGCGUGGAUAAGACAUGCAAGUCGAACGGGAGAAUUGCUAGCUUGCUAAUAAUUCUCUAGUGGCGCACGGGUGAGUAACACGUGAGUAACCUGCCUCUUAGUGGGGGAUAGCCCUGGGAAACCGGGAUUAAUACCGCAUACGAUUGAAAGAUCAAAGCAGCAAUGCGCUAGGAGAUGGGCUCGCGGCCUAUUAGUUAGUUGGUGAGGUAACGGCUCACCAAGGCGAUGACGGGUAGCCGGUCUGAGAGGAUGUCCGGCCACACUGGAACUGAGACACGGUCCAGACACCUACGGGUGGCAGCAGUCGAGAAUCAUUCACAAUGGGGGCAACCCUGAUGGUGCGACGCCGCGUGGGGGAAUGAAGGUCUUCGGAUUGUAAACCCCUGUCAUGUGGGAGCAAAUUAAAAAGAUAGUACCACAAGAGGAAGAGACGGCUAACUCUGUGCCAGCAGCCGCGGUAAUACAGAGGUCUCAAGCGUUGUUCGGAAUCACUGGGCGUAAAGCGUGCGUAGGCUGUUUCGUAAGUCGUGUGUGAAAGGCAGGGGCUCAACCCCUGGAUUGCACAUGAUACUGCGAGACUAGAGUAAUGGAGGGGGAACCGGAAUUCUCGGUGUAGCAGUGAAAUGCGUAGAUAUCGAGAGGAACACUCGUGGCGAAGGCGGGUUCCUGGACAUUAACUGACGCUGAGGCACGAAGGCCAGGGGAGCGAAAGGGAUUAGAUACCCCUGUAGUCCUGGCAGUAAACGGUGCACGCUUGGUGUGCGGGGAAUCGACCCCCUGCGUGCCGGAGCUAACGCGUUAAGCGUGCCGCCUGGGGAGUACGGUCGCAAGAUUAAAACUCAAAGAAAUUGACGGGGACCCGCACAAGCGGUGGAGUAUGUGGCUUAAUUCGAUGCAACGCGAAGAACCUUACCUGGGCUUGACAUGUAAUGAACAACAUGUGAAAGCAUGCGACUCUUCGGAGGCGUUACACAGGUGCUGCAUGGCCGUCGUCAGCUCGUGUCGUGAGAUGUUUGGUUAAGUCCAGCAACGAGCGCAACCCCUGUUGCCAGUUACCAGCACGUCAAGGUGGGGACUCUGGCGAGACUGCCCAGAUCAACUGGGAGGAAGGUGGGGACGACGUCAGGUCAGUAUGGCCCUUAUGCCCAGGGCUGCACACGUACUACAAUGCCCAGUACAGAGGGGGCCGAAGCCGCGAGGCGGAGGAAAUCCUGAAAACUGGGCCCAGUUCGGACUGUAGGCUGCAACCCGCCUACACGAAGCCGGAAUCGCUAGUAAUGGCGCAUCAGCUACGGCGCCGUGAAUACGUUCCCGGGUCUUGUACACACCGCCCGUCACAUCAUGGAAGCCGGUCGCACCCGAAGUAUCUGAAGCCAACCGCAAGGAGGCAGGGUCCUAAGGUGAGACUGGUAACUGGGAUGA
rnacentral:rRNA from 1 species